rnacentral:rRNA from 1 species
AGUGAACGCUGGCGGUAUGCCUAACACAUGCAAGUCGAACGGCAGCACAGUAAGAGCUUGCUCUUACGGGUGGCGAGUGGCGGACGGGUGAGGAAUACAUCGGAAUCUACUUUUUCGUGGGGGAUAACGUAGGGAAACUUACGCUAAUACCGCAUACGACGUACGGGUGAAAGCAGGGGAUCUUCGGACCUUGCGCGAUUGAAUGAGCCGAUGUCGGAUUAGCUAGUUGGCGGGGUAAAGGCCCACCAAGGCGACGAUCCGUAGCUGGUCUGAGAGGAUGAUCAGCCACACUGGAACUGAGACACGGUCCAGACUCCUACGGGAGGCAGCAGUGGGGAAUAUUGGACAAUGGGCGCAAGCCUGAUCCAGCCAUACCGCGUGGGUGAAGAAGGCCUUCGGGUUGUAAAGCCCUUUUGUUGGGAAAGAAAAGCAGCAGGUUAAUACCCCGCUGUUCUGACGGUACCCAAAGAAUAAGCACCGGCUAACUUCGUG